rnacentral:rRNA from 1 species
UACGUAGGGUGCAAGCGUUAAUCGGAAUACUGGGCGUAAAGCGUGCGCAGGCGGUGAUGUAAGACAGUUGUGAAAUCCCCGGGCUCAACCUGGGAACUGCAUCUGUGACUGCAUCGCUGGAGUGCGGCAGAGGGGGAUGGAAUCCGGCGUGUAGCAGUGAAAUGCGUAGAUAUGCGGAGGAACACCGAUGGCGAAGGGCAAUCCCCUGGGCCUGCACUGACGCUCCAUGCACGAAGCGUGGGAG